UGGGGAAUAUUGCACAAUGGGCGCAAGCCUGAUGCAGCCAUGCCGCGUGUAUGAAGAAGGCCUUCGGGUUGUAAAGUACUUUCAGCGGGGAGGAAGGGAGUAAAGUUAAUACCUUUGCUCAUUGACGUUACCCGCAGAAGAAGCACCGGCUAACUCCGUGCCAGCAGCCGCGGUAAUACGGAGGGUGCAAGCGUUAAUCGGAAUUACUGGGCGUAAAGCGCACGCAGGCGGUUUGUUAAGUCAGAUGUGAAAUCCUCGGGCUCAACCUGGGAACUGCAUCUGAUACUGGCGAGCUUGAGUCUCGUAGAGGGGGGUAGAAUUCCAGGUGUAGCGGUGAAAUGCGUAGAGAUCUGGAGGAAUACCGGUGGCGAAGGCGGCCCCCUGGACGAAGACUGACGCUCAGGUGCGAAAGCGAGGGGAGCAAACAGG
rnacentral:rRNA from 1 species